GUCGAGCUGAGAAAUGCCAGUGUCGGCCAUGCUGGCCACAUGUGGGACGGAGCAGGAUCCCCAGCCACCCAUGCGAGGCCACCCCCUUCCUUGGGGGGGUCCUUGUUCAGAGGGGCACCGACAACUAACUGGCUGAACAAGCCGUCUCAUGACGUCUUGGAACCCUGACCAUAAAGGUGUAGGACCUGGCCACAGCACCCUGCCUGCGCUGGCACUGCACAGACCCGUCUGUCAGGAGCCUCCUGCCGGCCCAUUUCUGCCUAUCCAGGCAUCGACUUCAGAAUCUCAGGUGCUGCUUGGCAGGAAAAUGCCCAGCAGGCGGGCCUGGGACUCGGUGAUGCGCCUGUGCCGGGGAGGGCAGAACGCUGGUGCCUGGCACAGGUGCCACAACACAUACGGUGUUUGGGCGCCAUCUUGGAAGCAGAGAUCAGGCCUCACCAGACACCAAGCCUGCUGGCACCAUGACCCUGGACUCCCAACCUCCACAGCUGGGAAAGAACUCUGCUCCCUAGAAAUUACCCAGGCUCGCUCAGCCCACCCUCGCACACUCAUUCACUGGCCCGCCCCUUAGGUGUGUGCUCCUGUACCAACACUGAAAUCCAGCUGUCACAACAGGCACCCA
rnacentral:lncRNA from 10 species